UACGAAGGGGGCUAGCGUUGCUCGGAAUCACUGGGCGUAAAGGGUGCGUAGGCGGGUCUUUAAGUCAGGGGUGAAAUCCUGGAGCUCAACUCCAGAACUGCCUUUGAUACUGAAGAUCUUGAGUUCGGGAGAGGUGAGUGGAACUGCGAGUGUAGAGGUGAAAUUCGUAGAUAUUCGCAAGAACACCAGUGGCGAAGGCGGCUCACUGGCCCGAUACUGACGCUCAGGCACGAAAGCGUGGGGAGCAAACAGG
rnacentral:rRNA from 1 species